UACGUAGGGUGCGAGCGUUGUCCGGAAUUACUGGGCGUAAAGCGUGCGCAGGCGGUUCGUUGUGUCCGUCGUGAAAGCCCCGGGCUUAACCUGGGAACUGCGAUGGAAACUAGCGAGCUGGAGUGUGGCAGAGGGGGGUGGAAUUCCGCGUGUAGCAGUGAAAUGCGUAGAGAUGCGGAGGAACACCGAUGGCGAAGGCAGCCCCCUGGGCUAACACUGACGCUCAGGCACGAAAGCGUGGGGAGCAAACAGG
rnacentral:rRNA from 1 species